ensembl:lncRNA
UGGUUUUGCAUAUUCCCCACCUGUUUUAAGGGUCCAUGUAUGUUAUAAGAUAUGUAUCCGACUUGUAUGCAUUGUACUAUACGGUACUGGGCAGUAGGAAUUCCCCCAUGUGUAUGUGGGAGGCUCUGUAGAGACAGUAGUCUAGGUUUGUGUGCACACACUGACCAUUGUAGAGGACCUUAGGGGCUGUGGGCUCAAAGGGCUGCCGUGUCCCAAGGGCCAGGGGAGAUGUAUGCCAAGAAUACCAGACAAGGGCCGCUGGCAGGGAAGGCCCUAUGGUAAUCAUGACAUCUGUAUGGUAAUAGGAGCAUCCACGGAUGGGCAAAUGUCAUGGCCAAACAGGACAAGAUUUGAAUGAGCCGGACAGGAUAAAAACUCGAGGACCAAGGAAAUAAAAAAUUGGAGGAGCGUCAAGGAGGACAGCUGGCCAACACUUAGACCAGUCUGACAGCUCGGAUUCAUGGUUCUUGCGGUUAACAUGACAAACAUCCUUCACAUUGGGGUCACCUCGUCAAGCUCCCUUUCAGCAGUUUCAGAAGGGCGGCAGAGUAGAGUCAGUGUGCAUGUAGUUACCAGAGUAGAGUCAGUGUGGAUGUAGUUACCAGAGUAGAGUCAGUGUGCAUGUAGUUACCAGAGUAGAGUCAGUGUGCAUGUAGUUACCAGAGUAGAAUCAGUGUGGAUGUAGUUACCAGAGUAGAGUCAGUGUGCAUGUAGUUACCAGAUUAGAGUCAGUGUGCAUGUAGUUACCAGAGUAGAGUCAGUGUGCAUGUAGUUACCAUUAGGGGUAUUAAGUGAGGAAGAACCAUUCAUUACUGAGGGGCCCCUUUUUCAUAAUGCAGGAUUGCACUAGUCUUUGUGUGUGUGUCUGUGAAUAUGUGUAUGUGUGUACUUGUGUGUGGGUGUUACCUGCCACCGACUGUGAAAUCGGAGAUGGCGUAGAAAUAAGAGCGAAGCACUUUAGCAUCCUUGAAGAACUCAUCACCAAAUGUGUUCAGUCUGUCCAGAGAUAUCAGCAGGUCGGUAGCAGUCACCCAGUCCUGGACAGACAGAAAGAAAGAAGGGGAGAGAAGGGAAAAGAAAAAGAAAGAGAGAGAGAGAAGAAGGAAAAAUCAAAAGAGAGACAGAGGCAUUGUGUCACCAGCAUUGAACAGUUGUGACAACACUGAGGAAGCAAGCAUUUCUUCCCUGUACAAAUGAAAUGUAUAACCCAUAACCCCCCCCCCCC